rnacentral:rRNA from 1 species
GGAAUCUGCCUGGUAGUGGGGGACAACGUUUCGAAAGGAACGCUAAUACCGCAUACGUCCUACGGGAGAAAGCAGGGGACCUUCGGGCCUUGCGCUAUCAGAUGAGCCUAGGUCGGAUUAGCUAGUUGGUGGGGUAAUGGCUCACCAAGGCGACGAUCCGUAACUGGUCUGAGAGGAUGAUCAGUCACACUGGAACUGAGACACGGUCCAGACUCCUACGGGAGGCAGCAGUGGGGAAUAUUGG